AAGAUUCCGGCCUCGGCCGAACUUCUUCAGCUGUGCGCUCCGGCUGCACGCUGUUGAAAACCCUCACACACCUUGUGCACCGUUCGGUUGCGUUUUCCCGCAAGGGAGUCGCUUCCGCCUUUCACAUAUAACAACUAGUCCAGAAUGUAUAAACCAUAAUUUAAAAUA
rnacentral:misc_RNA from 1 species